rnacentral:rRNA from 1 species
GAUGAACGCUGGCGGCGUGCUUAACACAUGCAAGUCGAACGAAGCACUUAUGAUAGAUUCUUCGGAUGAUGGAUUAAGUGACUGAGUGGCGGACGGGUGAGUAACGCGUGGGUAACCUGCCUCAUACAGGGGGAUAACAGUUAGAAAUGACUGCUAAUACCGCAUAAGCGCACAGGACCGCAUGGUCUGGUGUGAAAAACUCCGGUGGUAUGAGAUGGACCCCGCGUCUGAUUAGCUAGUUGGUGGGGUAACGGCCUACCAAGGCGACGAUCAGUAGCCGGCCUGAGAGGGUGAACGGCCACAUUGGGACUGAGACACGGCCCAAACUCCUACGGGAGGCAGCAGUGGGGAUAUUGCACAAUGGGGGAAACCCUGAUGCAGCGACGCCGCGUGA